GAACGGUAGCACAGAGGAGCUUGCUCCUUGGGUGACGAGUGGCGGACGGGUGAGUAAUGUCUGGGAAACUGCCCGAUGGAGGGGGAUAACUACUGGAAACGGUAGCUAAUACCGCAUAACGUCUUCGGACCAAAGUGGGGGACCUUCGGGCCUCACACCAUCGGAUGUGCCCAGAUGGGAUUAGCUAGUAGGUGGGGUAAUGGCUCACCUAGGCGACGAUCCCUAGCUGGUCUGAGAGGAUGACCAGCCACACUGGAACUGAGACACGGUCCAGACUCCUACGGGAGGCAGCAGUGGGGAAUAUUGCACAAUGGGCGCAAGCCUGAUGCAGCCAUGCCGCGUGUAUGAAGAAGGCCUUCGGGUUGUAAAGUACUUUCAGUGGGGAGGAAGGCGUUAAGGUUAAUAACCUUGGCGAUUGACGUUACCCGCAGAAGAAGCACCGGCUAACUCCGUG
rnacentral:rRNA from 1 species